GUGCUUGAGUAACCAAAAAAAUUAGGAAAGAAAUCGUUAAGGGCGUAUGGCGGAUGCCUAGGCUUUCAGAGGCGACGAAGGACGUGGUAAGCUGCGAAAAGCUACGGGGAUUGGCACACACGAAUAGAUCCGUAGAUAUCCGAAUGGGGCAACCCAAUACAUUGAAGAUGUAUUACUGCGUAAGCAGAGCAAACCCGGAGAACUGAAACAUCUAAGUACCCGGAGGAAAAGAAAUCGAAGAGAUUCCGUAAGUAGUGGC
rnacentral:rRNA from 1 species